UCGGUUAUGGAAGGUCAUGCGUACGAUUAGCUAGUUGGUGAGGUAACGGCUCACCAAGGCGACGAUCGUUAGGGGACCUGAGAGGGUGAUCCCCCACACUGGUACUGAGAUACGGACCAG
rnacentral:rRNA from 1 species